AUGUUCUCGUCACAGUCACUUAGCCGCGUCAACAACAUCCAUACAGCGCUGAUCAAUGCGCAGAAGGGAAAUCAAUCGGUGGCCUCCUUCUUCGCCGCCAUGAGAGGUCUUGCAGAUGAACUCGCCGCGGCAGGCAAACCCAUCCAAGAUGAUGAGCUCAUGUCCUACAUCAUCCACGGGCUGGACCAAGACUAUCAGCCUCUUGUCUCUGCACUGGAUGCACGCGUCACCCCGGUAACUCUUGAUGAACUCUUUGCUAUGCUUAGUAACUUUGAUCAACGCAUGGCGCAGUACCAAGGCUCCGGUGGUGGCUUCAAGUCAUCGGCCAACUCUGCGUUCAGAGGCCGCGGCGGUGGUGGCGGCUACUCCAACAACUCGCGCGGCGGCGGCCGCUCGGGAAACUCCAAAGGGCGUCGCGGUGGUGGCAGUGGUGGUUCCAACAGAUCCCGCCCGGACUUGCCCCGCUGUCAAAUCUGUGGCAAGCCAGGACAUACGGCGAAGGAUUGUUGGUACCGCUACGAAGAAGAUGAUGGUGACUCCUCGCAAGAUGAAGAGAAAGUUGUC
rnacentral:rRNA from 1 species